UACCACGAUCCAGUCCAAGGGACCCGUCACAGAACACCCAAAGUGGCACUUCAAUCUCACCUGUGAUUACGCUGAUGAGCGAACAGUGACCGUCCUCUUCCUGCCCCCCCCACAACAUCUGCAUCAAAGCGUUCGGACACUCAGACCGUACAGUAAUGAAACGCAAACACGCGCAUCGCCACAGAGACUGGAUGCCUGCAGCGUUUGGUUCGUUUUUGUGUUUGCCUACCGUUACGCAGCGUCGUUCCCAGGUGGUAAAGUUAAGUGACAGAAGAGGAACGGACAAAAAAGAACCAUUUGCGUAAACUGUAAGUCAAAGCGUCUCCAGCGGCGGGACACCUGGUGGCGCGUUUGCAUCGGUGACGCACAGGGUCCGAGUGACUGAGCCGACCUGCAUGUACACACCACCUCCAUCUUCUUCAGCUCGAAGCCCCAGCGAACAAGAAUAAAGAUCGAUACUUGUGGCUAAGUUACAAAAAUGA